UUUCACUUUGGUACUUGCUGUACAGACUGCUGCCAUGCCGGCUGGCUAGGUCACUCUCCCAUCAUUAAAGGAAAUCAGAACAGGAACUCAAGCAGUUCUGGAACCUGGAGACUGGAGCUGAUGCAGAGGACAUGGAGGGACACUAAUUGGCUUGUGUCGUGUGGUUUCAUCAGCCUGCUGUCCUAUGGACUUCAGGACCACCAGCCCAAGCAUGGCAGAGCCACAACAUUAAUUCAGCUAUUUCUCUUUAAUCCCAUUAAUACUUCUAUUACUGGAAAUACAGAUUGCUGUCAUCAUCAGAGACUUCCCCUGGCACCAGAAGGGAGCAGGUGUAGAAAACUACAGCCAGACAUUAUGCAGAAAGAGGGUCUAAAUCAGAGGUCUCCAUCAUGUCCCUCCAAUAGGAGCUUGGAUUAGGAGCUUGGAAAAAUCCAGUGGAGAAUGGGGAGGAAAGAUUAUAGAAGUCAGAGGAAAUGGGGAUGGAGGAACGCUAGCCAACCAGAGCCUGAAAAACAUGGCUCUGGAAGUCUUUGUUCUUCUCCCCCAUUCACUGCAUCUUGCUAAAAACCUUUACAAAAAUCUUCUUUUAUAUUUGGCCACGUCCUUCUUCAGAGACUCACUACCAAGGUCCAGC
rnacentral:lncRNA from 1 species